CUGAGAGAUAUCUCAUCUUUGACAAUGACCCAAGACAAGCAUAGUGGACAUCAUUUUAAAGGUACCUACUAAAUUCAGGGACCUAUGGCUAGGUUCCUUUUCUCCUAGAGACAGAAGAAACCGACUGAUGACUGAUCCAUUGUCACCAA